rnacentral:rRNA from 1 species
GCUCCUACUUGCUGGGGUGGAUGAGUGGCGAACGGGUGAGUAAUACGUGAGUAACCUGCCCUUGACUCUGGGAUAAGCCUGGGAAACCGGGUCUAAUACUGGAUACGACGUCCUACCGCAUGGUGGGGCGUGGAAAGGGUUUUACUGGUUUUGGAUGGGCUCACGGCCUAUCAGCUUGUUGGUGGGGUAAUGGCCUACCAAGGCGACGACGGGUAGCCGGCCUGAGAGGGUGACCGGCCACACUGGGACUGAGACACGGCCCAGACUCCUACGGGAGGCAGCAGUGGGGAAUAUUGCACAAUGGGCGCAAGCCUGAUGCAGCGACGCCGCGUGAGGGAUGACGGCCUUCGGGUUGUAAACCUCUUUCAGCAGGGAAGAAGCCACAAGUGACGGUACCUGCAGAAGAAGCGCCGGCUAACUACGUGCCAGCAGCCGCGGUAAUACGUAGGGCGCAAGC